CAUCACUCAUCCUGUUACAAGACACUGAACCAUCAACAUGAUUUUGAGCUGUUAUUUUUAGAAGAGACCAUAUUUGGAUGAGGGCGAGGAGCUGGAAUGAUAUCCUGAUCUGACUGAGAAUCAGACGACACACUGUAGUGGCUACUUUUCAAUCACAAGCUGCUGGUUUUCCACACACUGACAGACAGGUCGCUCCGUUGAUGUGUGUGUGCGUGUGACCAAUCGCAUGUGAUGACAGAGAGUACACCAUCAGUCACCAUCAACCAUCAAUUUUAACACUGGCCUGACACUCCAGACCAAUCAGCUCGCCAUUCCACCAGGAAUUCUACUGGGGCUCCUGACCGCUGUGCUAAUGAUCACGAUGUUGAUGACUACAUGGUGUCUGUACCGAGGGCCGUGGAAUCAUUACUGUCCGGAAAGACAUGGAUGUUAAAUGUAACCACCGACAUCAUGUUGUUACAUGUUUACAGUAUUUAUGAAGGUGCUGCGCUCUCCCCCGCCUUUGUACUUCCUUGUGACGCCUUUCCAUUCUCCUAUCGUCCUACUUGUUGUCUCUGUAUUAAAAUGGCACACAAAUAGACGUGCUAUGCUUUUUCAUCUUUUUCCCCUUUCUUUCAGUGCCUGGCAGCACAGGGGUUGUUUUAUAUACGGAAGGUUUUGAAAGAUAAAAUGCCCAAAGUAAGCACCAACAGAAGCUCCUCUCUCCCACACUCAUCAGAAGUCCUGCCUUUAACCCCGCAACUCCUUGACAUCACACUGCAUCACCAUGUCACUCAAUCGCAUGAUUUAUACCCAUAUUCACGUUUGAAUAAGCCUGGCUCAGGCAUGUGUAAGCUGACCAGUCUCAGCAGACUGGGUAAUCAGGAAGGCGGCCUUAAAGAGAAAAACAGUAUGUUUCAGAAUACAGUGCUGCUGUAUGAGAAAGCUCAUUUGUAAGUCAUGUGAACCCAUUCUAGAAGCAAUCCAAAAUAAAAUCGUGAACCUGAAAA